CCUACGGGUGGCAGCAGUAGGGAAUCUUCCACAAUGGACGAAAGUCUGAUGGAGCAACGCCGCGUGAGUGAAGAAGGGUUUCGGCUCGUAAAACUCUGUUGUUAGAGAAGAACAUAUCUGAGAGUAACUGUUCAGGUAUUGACGGUAUCUAACCAGAAAGCCACGGCUAACUACGUGCCAGCAGCCGCGGUAAUACGUAGGUGGCAAGCGUUGUCCGGAUUUAUUGGGCGUAAAGCGAGCGCAGGCGGUUUUUUAAGUCU
rnacentral:rRNA from 1 species